rnacentral:tRNA from 2 species
GCCUCGGUGGCCCAGCUGGUUAGGGCAUCGCCUUGGUAAGGCGGAGGUCGCGGGUUCGAAUCCCGCCCGGGGCUCCA